CCCAAAACACCCCCUCAUUCUCUCUUCUCUCUUUUAGAGACUAACCCUAGCCGCCCCUAAACUCUUCACCUUCUCCGCCGUCCUUCGCCGCCCGGAAAUCGCCUCACGGCAUGGCCACCCCCAAACCACUCCAAAUUAACACCCCACAAUCCCCAGCCUCCCUAUUCACUAAUCCACCGUUAGUUUUCCCUAAUUCCUCACCAAACCCAUUGAAUUUCAGAUCUAAGAAGUAGUGAAAACCUAGUUCUGCUUUCUCUUUGAUUUAAAUCGGGUCUGUUUUUCGUUAUAACUUACAUCAAUUGAUUUUUCUUGUUGAGAGCUAUUGAUUGAUGUUGGUUUCAUAACGUUUGACAGACACCAAAUCCGGUCAAGAACGUCACUGACUUUGCUAGAACUCCGACAAAGUUCUUUCUUCUCCGAUUCAACCUCCAAACCUCCCCAGAAUCACACCUCCCUUCACCUUCAAUCCAAAGACCCUUUCAAAAUCUUUCGAUUUUCAAAUCAGAGAACCCAGAAAUCUUAAUGGCCAUUGGUGUAGCUGGUUUUUCAGAGGUCCUCGUGUCAAGAUGUCCUAUCAGGAACUCAAAUUUUGGAUGGGUCUCUUGGCACAAGGACUUUUGGCGACUUGGUCUCAAAUCGGCAGAAUCCGGUUUAGACAAAGCUAAGCAGUAAUUGGAUUUGAUCACCAGUUGAUCAAAUCCAUCACUGACUAGAUUUCAAGCCAACCGGGCAGUAAUGAAAGGAGAAACGGGAUCCCUGCUUGUUAAAUCAAUUAGCCCAGACGGGGUCAGAAUCAGGCCAUAACACUUCACAUAAUUGUAAUUGUUAGUUUGAAGUUGUAUAGUAAUUUAUUUAGUGCACCAAGUGCAAUCAGCAGGACUAUGUAAUAUCAUUUCUUAUUUUUAGUUGUAAUAUAAUUGAAGUGUGUGGUGUGAGUUUCUGUCCAUGUUGUACAUCUUU